UCAGCCUCUUCCUGUCUGCACAAGGAAAUCCUGUUCAUAAGUCUGUCUUUGUGAACAGCCCAGGUCUGCCUCCAGACUCACACUCAUCCCAGGCAGAGAUGUCACUCCACAAUGAACUCUUGAAUGCUUGAAGGAAGUGAGGAGCAAGAUUAACUACACUGGAAUCCUGGCUGCGGCUGAGCUGAAUCCUCGCACCAUGUCUGCUUUAGUCAGCACUGCCUCCAGUGCAUGUCUCCCAGUCACGCACCAACAACCCCUGACUGAAACGACUGCCAUCUCCAUUACUUCAAGAUACACAGAGGCACACAAAGCAAGUCUAAUGCUUUAAGGUCUACCAAGCCUGGCUGCCUGAGUAAAGCUCCUUUUAGUCCGUGCUGUAACUUCUACCCAUCUGCAAGUGACCCAGUUGCCCCAGAGCACCCCCUACAGAUGUGAUGUAAAGGUUGGUUCUCUACCUCAGCAGGCUGUGGAAGUACUCCUAUCCCUAAAUAUUGCCAGGCAAAUGAUCUGUAAUUUGAAUUGUAAAUAAGAUGUCUAUCCCCUUCAAAUGAAGAUAAAUGAUGUAGGCAUUAAGGUGAAAUCUGUACCAUAAAUCAACUUUAAACAGUGUUUGCUCCUUCUUGGUAUUUGUGCGCCCGUUUGUACUUCUGUGGGAGUAUCACAGUGUGCCAGGGGUUACACACUCACCCCACCCCCGCCUGUCAUGGCAUGUGAUGUUUUUCUAAUUACUCUGAAAAAUGACGGAGUGCAUCUCCAUCCGAGUGUGACUACGCCACCACCGGCUGCCGAGACAUACAUCACUCUAAUUGGCUCAAAUAGCUCUAAUAUAUGCCACCAUGUUGCCUUCAUGGAUCAGCAGCGUCGCCUUUUGAAAAUCAAUACAGGAACAGCAUAAUGGGACACAAGAGUGUUACGUUCAAUAAGCAGCCCAAUGACUUUGGCAUUUCAGUGUUAAUCCUUUUGCUAUCCAGAAGUAGUGAGAGCGGUAAUUUGCGGUAAUUGGAGGAACAUUAAGGCCUGAGAUUGAGACAGGAAGGGCUGAAAUAUGUCAGGAUGUGUUUUGUCAGUGGUAUGAGUGCAUGUGUCCAGUGGAAUAUUUUUUUAAUUAUAGGUAUACUGAUGCCUGGAAAUAUGACAGAACAGAGAGUGGGAGGUUGAUGCUGCAGGGCACUGAUGCUUAAUCAUUGACAUUUGGCACAAUUUUCCAAUGUGUGGGUGAUAUGGUGACCUGUAAUCUCUGGUUUUGUUGUGCAUAUUUUGCUGCACUAGUUUUGCAUAGGUCAUAUAACAGUGAUUGGUGUUACACUGCAAAAGAAAAUUUCACCUGUAAAAAACAAUAUUUCAAA